AGACUUGAGUGCAGAAGAGGAGAGUGGAAUUCCAUGUGUAGCGGUGAAAUGCGUAGAUAUAUGGAGGAACACCAGUGGCGAAGGCGGCUCUCUGGUCUGUAACUGACGCUGAGGCUCGAAAGCGUGGGGAGCAAAACAGGAUUAGAUACCCUGGUAGUCCACGCCGUAAACGAUGAGUGCUAAGUGUUGGAGGGUUUCCGCCCUUCAGUGCUGCAGCUAACGCAUUAAGCACUCCGCCUGGGGAGUACGACCGCAAGGUUGAAACUCAAAGGAAUUGACGGGGGCCCGCACAAGCGGUGGAGCAUGUGGUUUAAUUCGAAGCAACGCGAAGAACCUUACCAGGUCUUGACAUCCUUUGACCACUCUAGAGAUAGAGCUUCCCCUUCGGGGGCAAAGUGACAGGUGGUGCAUGGUUGUCGUCAGCUCGUGUCGUGAGAUGUUGGGUUAAGUCCCGCAACGAGCGCAACCCUUAUUGUUAGUUGCCAUCAUUUAGUUGGGCACUCUAGCAAGACUGCCGGUGACAAACCGGAGGAAGGUGGGGAUGACGUCAAAUCAUCAUGCCCCUUAUGACCUGGGCUACACACGUGCUACAAUGGGAAGUACAACGAGUCGCAAAGUCGCGAGGCUAAGCUAAUCUCUUAAAGCUUCUCUCAGUUCGGAUUGUAGGCUGCAACUCGCCUACAUGAAGCCGGAAUCGCUAGUAAUCGCGGAUCAGCACGCCGCGGUGAAUACGUUCCCGGGCCUUGUACACACCGCCCGACACACCACGAGAGUUUGUAACACCCGAAGUCGGUGAG
rnacentral:rRNA from 1 species